CAGUCGCCACGGUAACACGUAGGGUGCGAGCGUUAAUCGGAAUUACUGGGCGUAAAGCGUGCGCAGGCGGUUGUGUAAGACAGGUGUGAAAUCCCCGGGCUUAACCUGGGAACUGCGCUUGUGACUGCACAGCUAGAGUAUGGCAGAGGGGGGUGGAAUUCCACGUGUAGCAGUGAAAUGCGUAGAGAUGUGGAGGAACACCGAUGGCGAAGGCAGCCCCCUGGGCCAAUACUGACGCUCAUGCACGAAAGCGUGGGGAGCAAACAGGAUUAGAUACCCGGGUAGUCCCUGUCUCUUAUAC
rnacentral:rRNA from 1 species